rnacentral:ncRNA from 1 species
ACCUGUAAAAGGCAAACCCGCCGCGAGGCUGGGACGCAAAGCUUCCGGUCCUGGCGUCCAGGAUAGCGGGGCCGCCAUC